CUCUGGCCCAAAGGUAGUGAGUUAUCUCAAUUGAUUGUUCACAGUGAGUUACAGAUCGAACUCCUUGUUCUACUCUUCCCCACUUCUCACUACUGCACUUGACUAGUCUUAA
rnacentral:Y_RNA from 1 species